rnacentral:rRNA from 1 species
CCACACCUAAAAACUUUCCACGUGAACCGUUCGGAGUGCCCUCGGGCACGAUUGUGGGGACUCCCCGCGUGCGCGCAUGCGUGCGUGCGUGCGGGUCGAGGCUCCGUCUGGGCUUGAGUCUGCGCUGUGCAUUCGUGCCUGGCGCGGGUUCGCUCGGACGCCAUUUCCUUUUAAACCCUUUACUAAGUACUGAUUAUACUGUGGGGACGAAAGUCUCUGCUUUUAACUAGAUAGCAACUUUCAGCAGUGGAUGUCUAGGCUCGCACAUCGAUGAAGGACGCUGCGAACUGCGAUACGUAAUGCGAAUUGCAGGAUUCAGUGAGUCAUCGAAAUUUUGAACGCAUAUUGCACUUCCGGGUUAUGCCUGGGAGUAUGUCUGUAUCAGUGUCCGUAAAGCACUCUUGCCUCUCUUCCUUCCGUGUAGUCGGUGGCGGGGACGGCAGACGUGAAGUGUCUUGCUGCUGCUCCGAUUUUGUUUUGGAGCUUGCGCGGCAAGUCCUUUGAAACUUUACUUUUCUCUCUCUUUUGCCGAAAGCGAGCUGGAAGUGGGCUGUGGCGGCUGCCUGUGUGCGGCGCGUUGCGUCUGUUCCUGCGAGAGCGUUUUGGAGAGGGCUUGUCGAUUCGCGGUAUGUUAGGCUUCGGCCGGACAGCACGCUUAUUGGUGGGCUCUGUCUGUUCUUGCGGUUGAACGGGUGCGCUGCGCUGUGCAUUGGGCUUGGCCGCUGAGCCUUUUUUAACUUUCGGCGUUCAACUCGCGAGUAGUGCGUCUGCGCGCGCUGUUUCAAAUGUUUUUGUUUGGAGCGGCGCUGCGGGCGAGGGGGGACUGUCCAUUUGGGAAACCUGUGCAUUCGCUGUGCGCCCGGCCUUUUUGUUGGGCGCGCGUGGCUUUUGCAUCUCAA